ACCUUGAAAUACCACCCUUUAAUGGCUGGUGUUCUAACGUGGGCCCGUGAACCGGGUUGCGGACAGUGUCUGGUGGGUAGUUUGACUGGGGCGGUCUCCUCCUAAAGAGUAACGGAGGAGCACGAAGGUUGGCUAAUCCUGGUCGGACAUCAGGAGGUUAGUGCAAUGGCAUAAGCCAGCUUGACUGCGAGCGUGACGGCGCGAGCAGGUGCGAAAGCAGGUCAUAGUGAUCCGGUGGUUCUGAAUGGAAGGGCCAUCGCUCAACGGAUAAAAGGUACUCCGGGGAUAACAGGCUGAUACCGCCCAAGAGUUCAUAUCGACGGCGGUGUUUGGCACCUCGAUGUCGGCUCAUCACAUCCUGGGGCUGAAGUAGGUCCCAAGGGUAUGGCUGUUCGCCAUUUAAAGUGGUACGCGAGCUGGGUUUAGAACGUCGUGAGACAGUUCGGUCCCUAUCUGCCGUGGGCGCUGGAAGAUUGAGGGGGGCUGCUCCUAGUACGAGAGGACCGGAGUGGACGCAUCACUGGUGUUCGGGUUGUCAUGCCAAUGGCACUGCCCGGUAGCUACAUGCGGAAGAGAUAAGUGCUGAAAGCAUCUAAGCACGAAACUUGCCCCGAGAUGAAUCUUCCCUGAGCCUUUAAGGCUCCUGAAGGAACGUUGAAGACGACGACGUUGAUAGGCCGGGUGUGUAAGCGCAGCGAUGCGUUGAGCUAACCGGUACUAAUGAACCGUGAGGCUUAACCUUACAAC
rnacentral:rRNA from 1 species